GAUGAACGCUGGCGGCGUGCCUAAUACAUGCAAGUCGAGCGAACAGACGAGGAGCUUGCUCCUCUGACGUUAGCGGCGGACGGGUGAGUAACACGUGGAUAACCUACCUAUAAGACUGGGAUAACUUCGGGAAACCGGAGCUAAUACCGGAUAAUAUAUUGAACCGCAUGGUUCAAUAGUGAAAGACGGUUUUGCUGUCACUUAUAGAUGGAUCCGCGCCGCAUUAGCUAGUUGGUAAGGUAACGGCCUACCAAGGCGACGAUGCGUAGCCGAUCUGAGAGGAGGAGCAGCCACACUGGAACUGAGACACGGUCCAGACUCCGACGGGAGGCAGCAGUGGGGAAUAUUGGACAAUGGGCGCAAGCCUGAUCCAGCCAUACCGCGUGGGUGAAGAAGGUCUUCGGGUUUUAAAGCCCUUUUGUUGGGAAAGAAAAGCAGCAGGUUAAUACCCCGCUGUUCUGACGGUACCCAAAGAAUAAGCACCGGCUAGCUUCGUG
rnacentral:rRNA from 1 species